GUUUGCGACGUUGUCGAUCACACACACACACACAAACACACAGACACACAGGUAAAACGCACGGACGCGCACACCGCAUCCGAAAUUUACGCGAAGAGUACGCGUGGAAGCGCGUACAGACAAACCAAAGAGGUUGAGAAGGAGCGAGUGGGACGGCGUGCAAGUCGUGAAAGGGCGUGUGUUUGCGUGUUCCUUCUCCUGCACGCUUCUGUCAGGGCGUUAGCCAUCGCUGGUGACGCAGGCCUUCUCGCCUCUGUCGAGGUCAAUACUGCUCGCGCGCGUCUCCGGGCCGCCCGCGCUACAUUGGACGGCGCAUCGCAGGCACGUCUGUGGGUCAAAGAAGGUUAGCGAGUAUUCGGAACGGCGCGCACCGUUUGCGCUCACCUUAGCCAUGCCACCACCGACCGAAAUGCAGGAGAUGGAGAUGGAGAUGGUGCAGGGUAUGUACGACACGUACGAGCGCCUCUCGGACGACCCGCCGUCGUACUGCGUCUCCUUAGCCGCCACGCAGGAUGAGCCGCCGCAGCUGAGAGUGAUCAUCACCUACCCCACCGAGGAGUACCCGGAAUCGGCACCGUGCGUUGUCGCGGUAGAGUGCAUCUCCAAGGCGCGCCGCAUCCCGGUCGGCGCCAUCACCAAGCAAAUCGCCAGCACAUGCGAGGAGAACAUCGGCAUGCACAGCGUUGUGCUGGUGCUGCAGCAGGUGCAGGAGUUUCUGUCGCGCGCUGUCGAGGAAGAGGAGAAGGCGGACCUGCUGCGCCGCGGCGAGGUGAUGGCGUCUGAGGCCGCAAAGCGCACCGGCGCAGUGGAGGAGGACCCGACCAUCCGAGUCGGUGCCGCCGUCACGCGGGAACUCUUCGAGGAGUGGAGCCGCAAGCACAACGCUGAGAAGGCCAAGGCACGGGCGGAGCGCGAGAAGAAAGCGGUGAAGGUGUCCGCCUCCAAACUGUCAGGCCGUCAGCUCUGGGAUAAUAGUCUGAAGUCCGCGGACUGGGCGCUGUUUGGAGGCGAGGCCGAAGAAGACGGCGUCGAGAACGUGGACUUCGGCUCCAUGAAGGAUCUCGACGAGGAUGAGUUUGAUCUCGAGUAAGGAGCGUCUGGGGAAGGGGGAAAGCAAGGGGGCGUGGGUCUGACCGGUGAGACGUUGGUGCCCCCCCCCCACACACACACACGGACACACCAAAAACCCGUCGUUGAGUUGAUGGACACACUAUCUGUAAUCGCAGACGCCGCUGUUGCUUUCCUUGUUCCUUUCCUCCCAGCUCAACGGCUGCGAAUGCGGCGCGCCCACACGUAUCCCAUGAAACAUGCACGCCCUUCAGCGUGCAAACGUCGCCUCAGCCGCGCCACGCGAGUGUAGCGAGAGAGGCGGAGAGACGCCCCCCUCGACCUCCAUACAUACACACGAAAAGCGUGAAGGCUUAUCAUGCCAUUGAACGUCAAUGGGCGUUAUGGAGCAAGCUUUUGCGCAUCAACUCGAGACCUAAUCGAUGAGGGAGGGAGUUACUAGUGCUCCGUAGAGGAGUGGCAGCCUCGGAUAUCGUUCUUCCUCCCUGCUGCCUUGCUGCCCCGAAGUGUGUUCGCCGAGAGGCCAGCUGGGAGUAGCGGAAGGGCGGCUGAAGUUGUGGACGUGGUCCUACACGAACGCCAUGCACGCCUCCCGGAGGCGAGGAAAACACGGAAAACAGGAAGAAACCGAU
rnacentral:misc_RNA from 1 species